AGGGCUUAAAUGGGAAUUGACAGACUGGGAAACUAGUCCUCCUUCGGGCAAUUUUCAAGGUGCUGCAUGGUUGUCGUCAGCUCGUGCCGUGAGGUGUUGGGUUAAGUCCCGCAACGAGCGCAACCCCUACUGUUAGUUGCCAGCAUGUAAUGAUGGGGACUCUAGCAGAACUGCCAGCGCAAGCUGUGAGGAAGGUGGGGAUGACGUCAAAUCAUCACGGCCCUUACGUCCUGGGCUACACACGUGCUACAAUGGUCGAUACAGAGGGCAGCCACCUGGUGACAGGGAGCAAAUCCUUAAAAUCGAUCUCAGUUCGGAUUGGAGUCUGCAACUCGACUCUAUGAAGCUGGAAUCGCUAGUAAUCGCGCAUCAGCCAUGGCGCGGUGAAUACGUUCCCGGGCC
rnacentral:rRNA from 1 species